GUUCUGUAUGGAAGGGCCAUCGCUCAACGGAUAAAAGGUACUCUGGGGAUAACAGUUGAUUUU
rnacentral:rRNA from 1 species